UUCUCUCUAGUCUCUGGGUCACAUUAGCAUUUAGCAAUAGCAGUAACUUAGUACUUAUCUAAGUAUCUUAGUUUCUUUAGCAAUUAGCAACCAACGACGGUGGACACUGGACAGUGAGCGACUAACGGCGAACCCACUGGAGCGACAAACGGUGGAUAGUCAGCGACUCAGUGGCGAAUCAGAUAAUUCUUUGUUCAUGGAUGAAUUUAAAGUUUACCUACUAUGUCAUGUAAAACCCGCUUUGGACCAAAGUCUGAUCAAGGAAUGACGACAUCAUCUGCAGGCAGCAUGACUCCUAGGUCUCCCUUUUAGACACCAAGGACCAGACAGAUAGACCUACUCUUGGCAGUGCAGAUGAAUGAACUGGCAGAUAUUGCUCUAUUUGUGGAAUGAUGAACGGUCUAUAUCUUAUUUGCUCUCUUGCCUUGAAGAUGUGAAAGUUGUGACAGAGCGCAGAAAGCUGGAUGCACUUACGGUUGAAACAUUUGGAACUCGCAUAGAAAAGCUGAUAAGGGAGAAGUAUUUGCAACUAUGUGAACUAGUUGAUGAUAACAAGGUUGAUAUAAGUAGCACUGUCAUUGAUGAAGUGCUUCUUUGGAAGAUGAUGUUGUACGCAGCUUAAGAACAAGCCCUAUUCAUUCCAAAGACCGUACCUCUAUAGAUGACUUUGAGAUAAUAAAGCCAAUUAGUCGUAGGGCAUUUGGACGUAUUUUCUUGGCAAAAAAGAGAACUACUGGAGAUUUCUUUGCAAUUAAGAUUACCAUGCUUUUUAAGGUUGAUCUGCUACUACAGUCUAUAGGUCAGAAAGUUGGGAGGUCUUCUCUGAUAGAAGAUGGUGCCCCGUGCACUAACAUGGAUUGAUCAGAAUUCUAAUAAUGAAGCCUCAAUGAUCAGGCAUCAUGUUGAAUUGGAUCUCUAUCAUUUGGCACGAAAUAAGGUCAAUGCAAGAGACAUGAUCAGUGGGGGCACCCUUUGGGAGCUAAUUCGUAUCUGACGUGAUUUCUCUCGAGCUGACGUAAGGUCUCUUGCACGUCAAACUCUGACUCAAGUCUGACUUCCCAAUCUAAAAUGCGACACUUGAGGAUAGAAUUAGAGUUAUCUUAUUGGUUUCACUCCAGGGUAUUGAGCCAACACUAAUUCUUGAAAUGCGAAUGCAUCAUGUACAUGAACCAGUUCCUAAAAGGAAAUUGCUCACAGUUUUGUAUCAAGGGUGUGCAUCAAGCAAAGUCCCAGAUGUUCCAAAUGACUCGUUCACUGGGAAGCUAGUAUUAAAGAUGUAGUGUCUAAGUUCGGUUCCUUCUAGUCGGACGUGCAGUAUUUCUGUUGUCCAGCUACUAGGUCUGCGUGUCCUUCGGAUUCUUGUGAAGUUGCCCUUGUUUUAUAGUUUUCAGUUUUCACUUUUCAUUUGUUUAAGGUGUUGAAAACAAAUAUGUUGUGUAGUGUGUACAUAUAUAAUGUCAUUUUACUUUUACUUAUGUGAGUGCAUACAAAAAUUUUAUUUAAAAUCCAUACAGUUUUCUCA